AUGGUUCUGAUCUGUGCUUCCUUCCAGAUGAGGGUGGUAGGAAGGCUUCUCCAGCAGCUUGGCUUCAUGAAGAUUUUCUGCCUCUGGAGCCCCAUGCAGGUGUGUCUGCAGCGAGGACAUUUCAAGCUCCUUUUCUGGUUGCUGCACGCAAGCCCAGCUCCCAUCACAGGGAGACGGAAGGAGAGGCUGUGCUGAAGGCAGCGUUUCCCGGAGGAAGCAGUGGCCCAUGAGCAGCCUCUGCUGCAGGAAGGGAGGCCAUGCCAGGCACAGUCACAGUCCCAGGAGAUUUGGAACUCAACCUCAAUUAUUUGGAAGUGCUACUGAAUGAUACUUUGAAUAUCUUGGAGAAUGCUGGAGGCAAG